rnacentral:rRNA from 1 species
AUUGAACGCUGGCGGCAGGCCUAACACAUGCAAGUCGAGCGAGCGGCGGACGGGUGAGUAAUGUAUGGGGACUGCCCGCUAGAGGGGGAUAACAACUGGGAACGGUAUCUAAAACAGCAUACUAUCGGAUAACCCAUAUGGGAUUAGCUAGUAGGUGGGGUAAUGGCUCACCUAGGCGACGAUCCCUAGCUGGUCUGAGAGGAUGAUCAGCCACACUGGGACUGAGACACGGCCCAGACUCCUACGGAGGCAGCAGUGGGGAAUAUUGCACAAUGGGCGCAAGCCUGAUGCAGCCAUGCCGCGUGUAUGAAGAAGGCCCUAGGGUUGUAAAGUACUUUCAGUCGGGAGGCGUUACCGGCAGAAGAAGCACCGGCUAACUCCGUGCCAGCCGCCGCGGUAAUUC